rnacentral:rRNA from 1 species
UACGGAGGGUGCGAGCGUUAUCCGGAAUCACUGGGCGUAAAGCGCACGUAGGCGGCUUUUUAAGUCAGGGGUGAAAUCCUGGAGCUCAACUCCAGAACUGCCUUUGAUACUGAGAAGCUUGAGUCCGGGAGAGGUGAGUGGAACUGCGAGUGUAGAGGUGAAAUUCGUAGAUAUUCGCAAGAACACCAGUGGCGAAGGCGGCUCACUGGCCCGGUACUGACGCUGAGGCACGAAAGCGUGGGGAGCAAACAGG